rnacentral:rRNA from 1 species
GAGGAAGUAAAAGUCGUAACAAGGUUUCCGUAGGUGAACCUGCGGAAGGAUCAUUAUCGAGUUUUGAAACGGGUUGUAGCUGGUCUUCCGAGACAUGUGCACGCCCGGCUCAUCCACUCUACACCUGUGCACUUACUGUAGGCUUCAGGAGCUGCUCGGACUUUCAUUAGUUCGGGUUGUGACUGGGCUUACGUUUACUACAAACUUCAUAAGUAUCAGAAUGUGUAUUGCGAUGUAACGCAUCUAUAUACAACUUUCAGCAACGGAUCUCUUGGCUCUCGCAUCGAUGAAGAACGCAGCGAAAUGCGAUAAGUAAUGUGAAUUGCAGAAUUCAGUGAAUCAUCGAAUCUUUGAACGCACCUUGCGCUCCUUGGUAUUCCGAGGAGCAUGCCUGUUUGAGUGUCGUGAAAUUCUCAACCUAACAAGUUUGUAACGAGCUUGCUUAGGCUUGGACUUGGAGGCUUUGCCGGCUGCUUAGUUCAGUCGGCUCCUCUCAAAUGCAUUAGCUUGGUUCCUUGCGGAUCGGCUCACGGUGUGAUAAUUGUCUACGCCGCGACCGUGAAGCGUUUAUUGGCCAGCUUCUAAUCGUCUCUAACGAGACAACACUAUCGAACUCUGACCUCAAAUCAGGUAGGACUACCCGCUGAACUUAAGCAUAUCAA